rnacentral:rRNA from 1 species
UACGGAGGGAGCUAGCGUUAUUCGGAAUUACUGGCGUAAAGCGCACGUAGGCGGCUUUGUAAGUUAGAGGUGAAAGCCUGGAGCUCAACUCCAGAAUUGCCUUUAAGACUGCAUCGCUUGAAUCCAGGAGAGGUGAGUGGAAUUCCGAGUGUAGAGGUGAAAUUCGUAGAUAUUCGGAAGAACACCAGUGGCGAAGGCGGCUCACUGGACUGGUAUUGACGCUGAGGUGCGAAAGCGUGGGGAGCAACAGG